UCAGUGUCGCCACGCUGACGUGCCCGGUGCAAGGGGAUCAGCAUGGUGAUGGUGGGCGAACUCCGCCCCUGGCAGGGCGGGUUACGCCGUGGGCGUCGGCGUCCGAGAGUUCCCGCUCUCGGACGCCCACG
rnacentral:ncRNA from 1 species